rnacentral:rRNA from 1 species
AACGAACGCUGGCGGCAUGCCUAACACAUGCAAGUCGAACGAGACCUUCGGGUCUAGUGGCGCACGGGUGCGUAACGCGUGGGAACCUGCCCUUAGGUUCGGAAUAACUCCCCGAAAGGGGUGCUAAUACCGGAUAAUGUCUUCGGACCAAAGAUUUAUCGCCUUUGGAUGGGCCCGCGUUGGAUUAGCUAGUUGGUAGGGUAAAAGCCUACCAAGGCGACGAUCCAUAGCUGGUCUGAGAGGAUGAUCAGCCACACUGGGACUGAGACACGGCCCAGACUCCUACGAGAGGCAGCAGUGGGGAAUAUUGGACAAUGAGCGAAAGCCUGAUCCAUCAAUGCCACGUGAAUGAUGAAGGCCUUAGGGUUGUAAAGCUAUUUUACCCGGGAUGAUAAUGACAGUACCGGGAGAAUAAGCUCCGGCUAACUCCGUG